rnacentral:misc_RNA from 1 species
ACUCAAUUCAAACUAGAUUCUUAAAUGAUCUUUUCUGACCUCCUUGUGUUUGGUCUUGUUCCUUCUACCUUGAUAUCAUUGUCUUCGAACUAAUAGAGUGAUGAAUCCAAACUUCUCAUGAUCGAAUUGGAUCUAGGGGAUCUGGCCCUUUAAGGAAUGAUUUGAAAUUUGAGGUGUGUUAUAUCAUUAAUCCCCCCCAGUCGGAAUCUUUAGGUUUGGCCUGAUCUAUA